GAUGAACGCUGGCGGCGUGCCUAACACAUGCAAGUCGAGCGAUCUUCUUCGGAAGAGAGCGGCGGACGGGUGAGUAACGCGUGGGUAACCUGCCCUGUACACACGGAUAACAUACCGAAAGGUAUGCUAAUACGGGAUAAUAUGCUUUUAUCGCAUGGUAGAAGUAUCAAAGCUCCGGCGGUACAGGAUGGACCCGCGUCUGAUUAGCUAGUUGGUGAGGUAACGGCUCACCAAAGCGACGAUCAGUAGCCGACCUGAGAGGGUGAUCGGCCACAUUGGAACUGAGACACGGUCCAAACUCCUACGGGAGGCAGCAGUGGGGAAUAUUGCACAAUGGGCGAAAGCCUGAUGCAGCAACGCCGCGUGAGCGAUGAAGGCCUUCGGGUCGUAAAGCUCUGUCCUCAAGGAAGAUAAUGACGGUACUUGAGGAGGAAGCCCCGGCUAACUACGUGCCAGCCGCCGCCGUAAAAC
rnacentral:rRNA from 1 species